CGCCGCCGCGGGAAUACAGAGGGUGCGAGCGUUAAUCGGAUUUACUGGGCGUAAAGCGUGCGUAGGCGGCUUUUUAAGUCGGAUGUGAAAUCCCUGAGCUUAACUUAGGAAUUGCAUUCGAUACUGGGAAGCUAGAGUAUGGGAGAGGAUGGUAGAAUUCCAGGUGUAGCGGUGAAAUGCGUAGAGAUCUGGAGGAAUACCGAUGGCGAAGGCAGCCAUCUGGCCUAAUACUGACGCUGAGGUACGAAAGCAUGGGGAGCAAACAGGAUUAGAUACCCCCGUAGUCCCUGUCUCUUAUACA
rnacentral:rRNA from 1 species